rnacentral:rRNA from 1 species
AUACGGAGGAUGCGAGCGUUAUCCGGAUUUAUUGGGUUUAAAGGGUGCGUAGGCUGUGCGUUAAGUCAGGGGUGAAAUGCCGUCGCUCAACGACGGAGCUGCCCUUGAUACUGGCGUGCUGGAGUACGGAUGCCGUUGGAGGAAUGAGGGGUGUAGCGGUGAAAUGCUUAGAUAUCACUCAGAACACCGAUUGCGAAGGCAUCUGACGAAUCCGUCACUGACGCUGAGGCACGAAAGCGUGGGGAUAGAACAGGAUUAGAUACCCUGGUAUUCCACGCCGUAAACGAUGAUGACUAACCGUCGGCGAUAGACAGCCGGUGGCCAAGCGAAAGCGAUAAGUCAUCCACCUGGGGAGUACGUCGGCAACGAUGAAACUCAAAUGAAUUGACGGGG